rnacentral:lncRNA from 1 species
AGCUGCUUGCGACUGUAAAGGCGGCAUAAGCUUAUUCCUUAUUUUUCAAAGUGCCAGUUUUCUUCAAGAAAAAAGAAAGUAGUUGAAUUAUUAGUUGCUUCAAGUCUGUGACUGUGCCACUUGUGCUCAUGAACUGGGGAAGAGGAAGAAGUGGCCAACCAGAGCCUGAAAAAAAUUCUCUGUUCUUCAGUCUCAGUGCAUGAGAAAGGAUUACAGCAGGCUCUAGCUGCCAAAAGCCACUCUUCUUGCAACAGAUGCAGCAAAGCUGGCAGUGGAUCUACUUUUCAGCUGCUACACUGAACUCCCCACCGUAGGUAUUUAUGCACUUAUUUAUGCACGUACCCCAAUGUCUUUAACAACUGAUAACAAAUAUCAGCACAGAUAAGAAGAAAUUUGAUAAAUGUAAUUCAUAUCCAAGUCACUGGGUGCAUACAAACUUCUAGGAUGUACAUAGGAUGAAACAAAUUACAACUGUUUAUAUAACAUAGAAAAGAUAUAUAUAUUUCUGUAUCAGUUUUUCAGCAAGUCCUGCCCACCUUCCUGGAAUGAUUUCCAAAGGCGGGAUCUUUGAUGCUA